rnacentral:rRNA from 1 species
GAUGAACGCUAGCGACAGGCUUAACACAUGCAAGUCGAGGGGCAUCCCUGGAGUAGCAAUACAACUGGUGGCGACCGGCGCACGGGUGAGUAACGCGUAUGCAACCUACCUAUCAGAGGGGAAUAACCCGGCGAAAGUCGGGCUAAUACCGCAUAAAACAGGGGCACCGCAUGGUGAUAUUUGUUAAAGAAAUUCGCUGAUAGAUGGGCAUGCGUUCCAUUAGGUAGUUGGUGAGGUAACGGCUCACCAAGCCGACGAUGGAUAGGGGAACUGAGAGGUUGGUCCCCCACACUGGUACUGAGACACGGACCAGACUCCUACGGGAGGCAGCAGUGAGGAAUAUUGGUCAAUGGGCGAGAGCCUGAACCAGCCAAGUCGCGUGAAGGAAGAAGGAUCUAUGGUUCGUAAACUUCUUUUGCAGGGGAAUAAAGUGCAGGACGUGUCCUGUUUUGUAUGUACCCUGAGAAUAAGGAUCGGCUAACUCCGUGCCAGCAGCCGCAGUAA